AGCAGCCGCGGUAAUUCCAGCUCCAAUAGCGUAUAUUAAAGUUGUUGCAGUUAAAAAGCUCGUAGUUGAAUUUCGGGGUCAGUAGGCUGGUCGUGCCACAGGUACGCACUGGUCUCACUGAUUCCUCCUUCCUGAUGAACCGUAAUGCCAUUAAUUUGGUGUUGCGGGGAGACUGGACUGUUACUUUGAAAAAAUUAGAGUGUUAAAGCAGGCUAACGCUUGAAUACAUUAGCAUGGAAUAAUGAAAUAGGACGUUCGGUCUUAUUUUGUUGGUUUCUAAGAUUGACGUAAUGAUUAAUAGGGAUAGUUGGGGGCAUUAGUAUUCAAUUGUCAGAGGUGAAAAUUCUUGGAUUUAUUGAAGACUAACUACUGCGAAAGCAUUUGCCAAGGAUGUUUUCAUUAAUCAAAGAACGAAAGUUAGGGGAUCGAAGACGAUCAGAUACCGUCGUAGUCUUAAACCAUAAAACUAUGCCGACUAGGGAUCGGAUGAUGUUAAUUUUUUUAAUGACUCAUCCGGCGC
rnacentral:rRNA from 1 species